rnacentral:rRNA from 1 species
GACGUAGGGCGCGAGCGUUGUCCGGAUUUAUUGGGCGUAAAGAGCUCGUAGGCGGCUCGUUGCGUCAGCCUGUGAAAACCCGCAGCUCAACUGUGGGCUUGCAGCUGAUACGGGGCGGGCUAGAAUUCGGUAGGGGAGACUGGAAAUUCCUGGUGUAGCGGUGAAAUGCGCAGAUAUCAGGAGGAACACCGGUGGCGAAGGCGGGUCUCUGGGCCGAUAUUGACGCUGAGGAGCGAAAGCGUGGGGGAGCGAACAGG